UACGAGGGGGGCAAGCGUUGUUCGGAAUUAUUGGGCGUAAAGCGUGCGUAGGUGGUUUGUUAAGUCUGCUGUGAAAACUGGAGGCUCAACCUCCAGCCUGCAGUGGGUACGGGCAAACUAGAGUGCGGUAGGGGAGAUUGGAAUUCCUGAUGUAGCGGUGGAAUGCGCAGAUAUCAGGAGGAACACCGAUGGCGAAGGCAGAUCUCUGGGCCGUAACUGACGCUGAGGAGCGAAAGCAUGGGGAGCGAACAGG
rnacentral:rRNA from 1 species